CCUACGGGAGGCAGCAGUGUCGAAUAUUGGGCAACGGAGGCGAAUCUGAUCCAGCCAUGCCGCGUGUAGGAAGACUGCCCUAUGGGUUGUAAACUGCUUUUAUACAGGAAGAAACAUUUGUACGUGUACCAGCUUGACGGUACUGUAAGAAUAAGGACCGGCUAACUCCGUGCCAGCAGCCGCGGUAAUACGGAGGGUCCGAGCGUUAUCCGGAAUCAUUGGGUUUAAAGGGUCCGCAGGCGGUCUAUUAAGUCAGAGGUGAAAUCCCAUAUCUCAACUAUGGAACUGCCUUUGAUACUGGUUGACUUGAGUUAUAUGGAAGUAGAUAGAAUGUGUAGUGUAGCGGUGAAAUGCAUAGAUAUUACACAGAAUACCGAUUGCGAAGGCAGUCUACUAGCGUUAUGUACUGACGCUGAGGGACGAAAGCGUGGGGAGCGAACAGGAUUAGAUACCCUGGUAG
rnacentral:rRNA from 1 species